rnacentral:rRNA from 1 species
AUUGAACGCUGGCGGCAGGCCUAACACAUGCAAGUCGAGCGGAUGAAGGGAGCUUGCUCCUGGAUUCAGCGGCGGACGGGUGAGUAAUGCCUAGGAAUCUGCCUGGUAGUGGGGGAUAACGUCCGGAAACGGGCGCUAAUACCGCAUACGUCCUGAGGGAGAAAGUGGGGAAUCUUCGGACCUCACGCUAUCAGAUGAGCCUAGGUCGGAUUAGCUAGUUGGUGGGGUAAAGGCCUACCAAGGUGACGAUCCGUAACUGGUCUGAGAGGAUGAUCAGUCACACUGGAACUGAGACACGGUCCAGACUCCUACGGGAGGCAGCAGUGGGGAAUAUUGGACAAUGGGCGAAAGCCUGAUCCAGCCAUGCCGCGUGUGUGAAGAAGGUCUUCGGAUUGUAAAGCACUUUAAGUUGGGAGGAAGGGCAGUAAGUUAAUACCUUGCUGUUUUGACGUUACCAACAGAAUAAGCACCGGCUAACUUCGUG